ACGAACGCUGGCGGCAUGCCUCACACAUGCAAGUCGAACGAGACCUUCGGGUCUAGUGGCGCCCGGGUGCGUAAUGCGUUGGAACCUGCCCUUAGGUUCGGAAUAACUCCCCGAAAGGGGUGCUAAUACCGGAUAAUGUCUUCGGACCAAAGAUUUUUCGCCUUUGGAUGGGCCCGCGUUGGAUUAGCUUGUUGGUAGGGUAAAAGCCUACCAAGGCGACGAUCCAUAGCUGGUCUGAGAGGAUGAUCAGCCACACUGGGACUGAGACACGGCCCAGACUCCUACGGGAGGCAGCAGUGGGGAAUAUUGGACAAUGGGCGAAAGCCUGAUCCAGCAAUGCCGCGUGAGUGAUGAAGGACUUAGGGUUGUAAAGCUAUUUUACCCGGGAUGAUAAUGACAGUACCGGGAGAAUAAGCUCCGGCUAACUCCGUG
rnacentral:rRNA from 1 species